CCUGGGGGAAGGACGACCGCUCCGGACUCCUGAACAGGUUCGGAGAGGAAAGUCCAGACAGCACAGAGCAAGGCGCCCGGCGCAAGCCGGGGGCGGUCCUUGAAAGAGGGCCGCACGGAUAGGGCCACAGAGACGUAGUCUGCGCCGCAAGACGCAGGGUGAAACGCGGUAACCCCCACCUGCUGCAACCUCAAGCAUGGCCGCCGACGCUGCUCGCCGAGGCCAGGGUAGAGGGCACCCGCCCACACAGGGCUGGCCGGUCUCCCAUCCAGGGACCGGAGAUAGAUGGUCGUCUAGAACAGGAUCUGGCUUACUCUCCCCCAGGCACC
rnacentral:RNase_P_RNA from 1 species